AUGAGGACUCACCACUGGAGAAAUGUAGAUAAAGGUACUCGGGAAUCACUGACGAGACUGGGACUGAGCACCUGAACCUACAUUAUAAGACAAUGUAGCACAUAGACAUAUAUGUGGAUCAAUACUUGGGAAUGUAUUGAGUAUAUGGGGUGUAUGCAUUUAUAUAAAAAUAGUACCAAUACUCUUCAAUCAAAUCAUGCAUGCAAUUAGGAAUGGC
rnacentral:lncRNA from 1 species